rnacentral:lncRNA from 1 species
GAAGAGAGAGAGAGAGAGAUGAGAAAAGGCAUGAUUGGUGAAGAGGAAGUGAAAGGUUUGUUCAUUGGCAUGGGCCCUGAGAUGAAAUGUCAAAGGUCAUUGGCAUCAAAUCUAACACAAGGCCUGCCCCUAACAAAUCUCUCAAAAUCCGAUGCCUAAUCAUUUGAGUUUUAUUUAAAUUUUUCAUAAAGUCUUCCAAGUUUAUUAGUGUAAGAAAGUGCACCCUUUUUCUGAAAGUUGCCCCCCAUGAUUCAUGUGCCUCACCU